rnacentral:rRNA from 1 species
CCCUUAGAUGUCCUGGGCCGCGCGCGCGCUACACUGACAUGUUCAACAAGCCUCCUAGUUCGACAGGAUUUGGGAAAUCUUUGAACGCAUGUCGUGAUAGGGAUAGAUCAUUGCAAUUAUUGAUCUUGAACGAGGAAUUCCCAGUAAGCGCGAGUCAUAAGCUCGCGUUGAUUACGUCCCUGCCCUUUGUACACACCGCCCGUCGCUACUACCGAUUGAACGGUUUAGUGAGGGCCUCGGAUUGGUCUCGGCCCGCUCUUUACCGGGCGGCGCCGUUGGUCGAGAAGACGCUCGAACUUGAUCGUUUAGAGGAAGUAAAAGUCGUAACA